UACGGGGGGGGCAAGCGUUGUUCGGAAUUACUGGGCGUAAAGGGCUCGUAGGUGGCCAACUAAGUCGGACGUGAAAUCCCUCGGCUUAACCGGGGAACUGCAUCCGAUACUGGAUGGCUUGAGUUUGGGAGAGGGAUGCGGAAUUCCAGGUGUAGCGGUGAAAUGCGUAGAUAUCUGGAGGAAUACCGGUGGCGAAGGCGGCAUCCUGGACCGACAUUGACGCUGAACGGCGAAAGCUAGGGGAGCAAACGGG
rnacentral:rRNA from 1 species